GGAUUAGUAGGUUGGUCAUGCCUCUGGUAUGUACUGGUCUCACUGAUUCCUCCCUCUUGACGAACUGUAAUGUCAUUAAUUUGGUGUUGCAGGAAAUCAGGACUGUUACUUUGAAAAAAUUAGAGUGUUUAAAGCAGGCUAAGGCUUGAAUACAUUAGCAUGGAAUAAUGAAAUAGGACGUUUGAUCCUAUUUUGUUGGUUUCUAGGAUUGACGUAAUGAUUAAUAGGGAUAGUUGGGGGCAUUAGUAUUCAAUUGUCAGAGGUGAAAUUCUUGGAUUUAUUGAAGACUAACUACUGCGAAAGCAUUUGCCAAGGAUGUUUUCAUUAAUCAAGAACGAAAGUUAGGGGAUCGAAGACGAUCAGAUACCGUCGUAGUCUUAACCAUAAACUAUGCCGACUAGGGAUCGGAUGAUGUUAAUUUUUUAAUGACUCAUUCGGCGCCUUACGGGAAACCAAAGUGUUUGGGUUCCGGGGGGAGUAUGGUCGCAAGGCUGAAACUUAAAGGAAUUGACGGAAGGGCACCACCAGGGGUGGAGCCUGCGGCUUAAUUUGACUCAACACGGGGAAACUCACCAGGUCCAGACAUAGUAAGGAUUGACAGAUUGAGAGC
rnacentral:rRNA from 1 species